rfam:Anaerovibrio lipolyticus strain 5S contig00154, whole genome shotgun sequence.
GGGAUGGCAUCCGUUUGGAGUCAUACUCCUUAAUUUGCUUCAAUUUUUAUAAAUACUUUUUCGCUUAGAUCCUUGGGACUGAGACGGAUGG